rnacentral:rRNA from 1 species
AUUGAACGCUGGCGGCAUGCCUAACACAUGCAAGUCGAGCGGAGCGGCGGACGGGCGAGUAAUGCCUAGGAAUCUGCCUGGUAGUGGGGGAUAACGUCCGGAAACGGGAGCUAAUCCCGCAUACUAUCAGAUGAGCCUAGGUCGGAGUAGCCAGUUGGUGGGGUAAAGGCCUACAAAGGCGACGAUCCGUAACUGGUCUGAGAGGAUGAUCAGUCACACUGGAACGUAGACACGGUCCAGACUCCUACGGGAGGCAGCAGUGGGGAAUAUUGGACAAUGGGCGAAAGCCUGAUCCAGACAGGCCGCGUGUGUGAAGAAGGUCUUCGGUUUGUAAAGCACUUUAAGUUGGGAGGCGUUACCAACAGAAUAAGCACCGGCUAACUUCGUGCCAGCAGCCGCGGUAAUAC